rnacentral:lncRNA from 1 species
GUAAAUUAAAAGAGAUGAAGCUGAUCCUCAAAAUUUGAAUUUCAAAUGGUGUAUAGAUGAAAUGUUCUGUGAGUUAAAAUCUUAAAGAUUUUUAUUCUAUCCUUUGUUUAAGCAAAAACAACACCAUUCUAACAUGGUACCCUCCUCCCCUCCCUUCUCAUUUACUUCUCUUAGCUUCUCUGUAUUUCCUGUGGCAGAUAAGUCAGAGACAUUCUGGCUGGGAGGACCUUAUUUUUAUUCCUCCAGGCAAAAGCCAUUCACAGCACAUUCAAGAUGUCACAAAAGUAUGAACUUCGUGGAAGUAACUUCUGUUCAGAACAAAUCAAAAUAGAGGCAGGUUCAUAUUCUCCCCUGCACUUGGUCGACCAGAAAAUCCAAAUUGUUAAGUUCCAUAUGAACUUCGUGGAAGCAGCUUCUUUUCGGAACAAAUCAAAAUAGAGGCAGUUCAACACUCCCCUUCACUUGGUCGACGUCGACCAGAAAAAUGCAAAUAGUUAAGCUCCAUAUAUGCUUUCUACCUCUGACUUGUUUUAUUAACUUUUCAUGGGUUUCUAGAAGCAAUUACUAUUUACUUGAUAUAUUCAGGCAGUGCUGGAAUAGCUUAAAGAUACAUGAAGGGAUAAGGAUCAAGUUUUGCUUGAAAAUUAAACGAGGGAACAACUAACAUGUUGUACAUUAAAAGUCAAUGAGUUGGUAACUAGAGUGGCAUAAUUUACUUGGUAUCUGUACAUUGCACAAUUUGAAUUGUUGAAUUAUGUUUCGCUCUUCUGCCAUAAUUUCUGUUAAUUUUAAACUUUUCCAGUAAUGCUGACAUUAUUUCAUACUGUUCCAGUAAUUCCAUUAGAUACCGAUUGAUUAGGAGGUCGUUAUGAUCAGUUGUUGAAUUUUACACAAUCUCAAAUGAUAAUGCCUAGCCAUAACAUUAUCCAUUGAUGCUUUGAAUACUUUUCACCCACCCUUUUAUUUUGAGAGAAAGAAAUGCUUACAAGAUAUGGACCUUUUUAUGGUACCCUGAGUUUGGGG